rnacentral:antisense_RNA from 1 species
CGGCGCUUGAGGCUUUUUGCCUCAUGAUGUUCAGGUGGUUUGUUGCCAUGUUGUGAGGCAGAAAGAAGAAAGCCCCGAAGGUAAUUUUUCAAUUAACCAACAGGGCCAACUCUAUGUCUCGACAACAUCAGAGUAGCCGUUUACCCGCCGUAAGGCAAGGAGAAGAAGGCUAUG